UGCCUAAUACAUGCAAGUCGAACGAACUUCCGUUCCUUGAUCAGGACGUGCUUGCACUGAAUGAGAUUUUAACACGAAGUGAGUGGCGGACGGGUGAGUAACACGUGGGUAACCUGCCCAGAAGCAGGGGAUAACACCUGGAAACAGAUGCUAAUACCGUAUAACAGAGAAAACCGCCUGGUUUUCUUUUAAAAGAUGGCUCUGCUAUCACUUCUGGAUGGACCCGCGGCGCAUUAGCUAGUUGGUGAGGUAACGGCUCACCAAGGCGAUGAUGCGUAGCCGACCUGAGAGGGUAAUCGGCCACAUUGGGACUGAGACACGGCCCAGACUCCUACGGGAGGCAGCAGUAGGGAAUCUUCCACAAUGGACGCAAGUCUGAUGGAGCAACGCCGCGUGAGUGAAGAAGGGUUUCGGCUCGUAAAGCUCUGUUGUUAAAGAAGAACGUGGGUGAGAGUAACUGUUCACCCAGUGACGGUAUUUAACCAGAAAGCCACGGCUAACUACGUGCCAGCAGCCGCGGUAAUACGUAGGUGGCAAGCGUUAUCCGGAUUUAUUGGGCGUAAAGCGAGCGCAGGCGGUCUUUUAAGUCUAAUGUGAAAGCCUUCGGCUCAACCGAAGAAGUGCAUUGGAAACUGGGAGACUUGAGUGCAGAAGAGGACAGUGGAACUCCAUGUGUAGCGGUGAAAUGCGUAGAUAUAUGGAAGAACACCAGUGGCGAAGGCGGCUGUCUGGUCUGUAACUGACGCUGAGGCUCGAAAGCAUGGGUAGCGAACAGGAUUAGAUACCCUGGUAGUCCAUGCCGUAAACGAUGAUUACUAAGUGUUGGAGGGUUUCCGCCCUUCAGUGCUGCAGCUAACGCAUUAAGUAAUCCGCCUGGGGAGUACGACCGCAAGGUUGAAACUCAAAAGAAUUGACGGGGGCCCGCACAAGCGGUGGAGCAUGUGGUUUAAUUCGAAGCUACGCGAAGAACCUUACCAGGUCUUGACAUCUUCUGCCAACCUAAGAGAUUAGGCGUUCCCUUCGGGGACAGAAUGACAGGUGGUGCAUGGUUGUCGUCAGCUCGUGCCGUGAGAUGUUGGGUUAAGUCCCGCAACGAGCGCAACCCUUAUUACUAGUUGCCAGCAUUCAGUUGGGCACUCUAGUGAGACUGCCGGUGACAAACCGGAGGAAGGUGGGGACGACGUCAAAUCAUCAUGCCCCUUAUGACCUGGGCUACACACGUGCUACAAUGGAUGGUACAACGAGUUGCGAAACCGCGAGGUUUAGCUAAUCUCUUAAAACCAUUCUCAGUUCGGACUGUAGGCUGCAACUCGCCUACACGAAGUCGGAAUCGCUAGUAAUCGCGGAUCAGCAUGCCGCGGU
rnacentral:rRNA from 1 species